CGGACGGGUGAGUAAUGUCUGGGGAAACUGCCUGAUGGAGGGGGAUAACUACUGGAAACGGUAGCUAAUACCGCAUAACGUCGCAAGACCAAAGAGGGGACCUUAGGGCCUCUUGCCAUCGGAUGUGCCCAGAUGGGAUUAGCUAGUAGGUGGGGUAAAGGCUCACCUAGGCGACGAUCCCUAGCUGGUCUGAGAGGAUGACCAGCCACACUGGAACUGAGACACGGUCCAG
rnacentral:rRNA from 1 species